AGUGAUGAGAGCCCCGUGUGCUUCCUGAGUGCUCUUCCCAUCAAAUCUCAACAGAACAAAUCUUUUCAGCAGCUCUGAAUAAUAAGAAAUGGGUUUGCAAUUUUCCUCGAAGGUUUUGGGGCUGAAAAGUUUCUUUCUGAGGAGGAAGGGGUGAUACUCCCGGGCACCCAGCAAUCUCCAGGCGUUGGGAAGAAGGAGGAUGUUCUCUUCUGUCUCCCAGCUGUCCAACCACGGACUGUAAAUAUUUCGUGGUGUUGUUAAACCAGCAGCCAAGCUGAUGGGGCAGCUGGCCCGCUGCUGUGUGAUCUGCUGGUUCACACACAUCCAUCCCCCAGCCCAGGGAUAUUUCAUGGAGACUUCCGUCCAAUGCUCAGGGAUUACUAAUCCAAGACACGGAGCCCCACCAACUACAAGUGUGCUGAAUUCGGAUUUCCAAACUGAGGAAAAACAGCUUUAGACACCUAAAAAGAGCCCCUAGAUUUUCAGAAAUUAUUUUUUGGGUAUUGAUAAAUUACAAAGAAGAUUUUGGCAGUGAGCAGGAGUUCAUUUUCCCCAGGAUCAUAUCCUGUGUCACAGGGAGAGUGCACAGCUGGGAGAGCUCAGUCUGAUUUGUCAGAGCAAGUGAAGCAGCUCGGGAAGCGUCGUGGCAGUGGCAGGGAUAUUACAGCAAUUAGAAGGAGCCACAAACAGCUCCCUACGUCUGAAGCUGCUCACUGAAGCUGACAGGCCGCCUCUGCUGCUCCCCGAGCCCCAGACACAAAGCGGCCCCUUUCCCUUUCCAAAACGCCGCUUCCGUCCUUCCAUCAUUCCCAGCAAGGCUCCCGCGCUGGGAUCGUGCUCCGGCAGACUGAAAGGGACCUUUCUCCUCCCCGGGAACCUCCCGCGGGCAGAGGCAGCACUGCUGGAGGGUGUCAGAGUGUGGAAUUCAGAGACACGUCCUGGAGCCGCUGUCCUGGCUCUGCUCCAGCUGUCAGCGGGGAUGGAGAGGUGGAACAGCGUGUGGCAGCCUCUGCUCCCGGCUCCUUUGAGGCGAGGGACGAGGGUCCCAAGCACAGAGGGUGCUCCCAGCCCAGCCCUGGCAGCCUAGUAAUUCCAGGAAACCCAGAUAUGCCAGAGAGUUUGGCUUCAGGAAUUUCAGCCCACUGGAAUCCCCAAAUGAAGAUGCUUUAUCCCGAGUUCAUUACCACGCUCCCCAGCCCUCUGCUGGAAGCCACAUCCUUUGGCAAUCUGCCUUUGGUCACUGGACACAUUCCUUAGGACGCUGUUUUGCCCUCUGCCAUCUCUGUGCUCCUGACCUUGAUCCUUGGCUGAACUGCAGCGCAGCACAAUCAGCCCUUGAUCCCCACAGGGCAUCGCUCGGCUCCGGCGGGACAGAAAAGGACAGAAAAGCCUUCUGCACUCUGAGAGACAAAAUCCUUCAGCAAGGCAGCUCCCAGUGCAGCCUGAAAUCUGGAGAUCCCACUUUGCUGCUGCCACGGCCACAGGGGAGAGAGAUGUCACUUGGGGCAGAAAUCACAAUGAAGUCACUUCUUCAAAUCACAGCUGUAGUGGAGACCAGGCGCAAAAUGAGACAUUUCAUUCUGCCGCCAUAUAAAUCUGAAGUUUCUCUGCACCCCACUCAAAUGGGUGAAAAAGCCCUCCUGAGUCCCUGUGACUGAAGGGUCCGAGGCUGGUUUCCUCAGUGAUCCAUCCAGCACAGACCGAGUUUCCCUCUCUGGGAAGCUGUGGUAAAAAAUCCCUU